AAGGUGUCGGCCCAGUUUGUCCCAAAGGCCCGCGCUAAUUAGGGCUUAAAAUUUGUAAGCCCUAGCCCUAGACGUAUAUAUAGCAAAUGAGCUCCCCUUUGCCGACUCUCACAAUCACAAUAUCACGUUUUCAUCUGAAGGGUUUCUGCUCAUAAUACAAAGUUGAAGAAAGCUCCCUGUCACCAUGAGGGCUAAGUGGAAGAAGAAGCGUAUGAGGAGGUUGAAGAGGAAGCGCCGAAAGAUGAGACAGAGAUCCAAGUAGGCGGCACUUUUUGACAACGUGGGUGCUUCUCCUGAAAUGCUUUCAUCACUGUUGACGCUGGUUGUGCUGGAGGUGAUGGAAAAUUGAAGGGAAGCUUGCAUUGCCAGUGCAGUUUCUACAUCUAGUUUUGGGUUUUGUAGCAUCACUAAGAGUUUUAAGACUGAGCGCUCCUGAGUUCACUUAUUUCUUGUAUUCGUAUUUUCUAUCUACAACUGAAUGACUUUUGGAUCUUGUGUUAGUUAUGUUACCCGUUAAUUUGAGCUCAACUUGAUUUCUGUUGAUGAAUGUGAGUUGUAAUCAUUUGGAUAUAUUUUGCUUAAGUGUGCUUUGCCUCGAGUCAAAAA